ensembl:lncRNA
CCAUUCUUCCCAUUAUUCCCAUCAUCCCCAUCAUCCCCAUUAUCCCCACCCCCCCACUAAUCCCGGAAUUCCGGGAAUUCCCGGAAUUCCUUCCCGCAGCCGCUCCCCGUCGCCGCUCCAGGCGGCCGAGAAGGAGCAGGAGACCCCGUGGGAACUGGCCGAGCGCUGUCUCCGGGAAUUGUUGGGAAGAGCGGCUUUUGGGAAUAUCAAGAACGCCAUCAAGCCCGUCCUCACGUGAGUCCCCAUUCCCGGAAAAAAAACCGGGAAUUUCCUGCUUUUCCUGGGGAAAAAUCCCCCCCUCGGAGCGGGAUUCGGAGCCCGGCUUUUCCGGCUUUUUCCCUCAGCCCGAAUCCCGGGAAUGCCGGCGGAUAUCCCGGAAAAUGUCGGCGUGUUUUAGUUCCAGGUUAUCCCUGGAGUUGCCUUAAUUUCCCUUGGAAUUCCCAUUUUUCCCAGAAUUCCCUUUAAUUUCCCGUUUUCCCUGGAAUUCCCAUUUUUCCCUUUAAUUUCUCAUUUUCCCUGGAAUUCCCAUUUUUCCCUUUAAUUUCUCAUUUUCCCAUAAUUCCCAUUUUUCCCUGGAAUUCCCAUUUUUCCCUGGAAUUCCCAUUUUUCCCUUUAAUUUCUUCUUUUCCCUGAAAUUCCCAUUUUUCCCUCACAGUUCCCAUUUUUCCCAGAAUUCCCAUUUUCCCCCUCACAAUUCCUAUUUCCCCCCAAAAAUUCCCAUUUCCCCCCCAGAAUUCCCAUUUAUUCCCUGAAAUUCCUAUUUUUCCCCCUGAAAUUCCCAUUUUCCCUCCCCAGAAUUCCCAUUUUCCUCCCAGAAUUCCCAUUUUUCCCCUCACAAUUCCCAUUUUUCCCUCAGAAUUCCCAUUUAUUCCCAGAAUUCCCAUUUUUUUCUCCCAGAAUUCCCAUUUAUUCCCUGAAAUUCCCAUUUAUUCACAGAAUUCCCAUUUAUUCCCAUUUAUUCCCAUUUUUUCCCCCCCUGAAUUCCCAUUUAUUCCCUGAAAUUCCCAUUUCCCCCCCAAAAUUCCCAUUUUCCCUCCCACAAUUCCCAUUUUUCCCUCCAGAAUUCCCAUUUAUUCCCAGAAUUCCCAUUUAUUCCCAGAAUUCCCAUUUUUUUCCCCAGAAUUCCCAUUUUCCCUCUCCAGAAUUCCCAUUUUUUCCCAUUUUUUCCCCAGAAUUCCCAUUUUCCCUCUCCAGAAUUCCCAUUUUUUCCCAUUUAUUCCCGUUUUUUCCCCCCCAGAAUUCCCAUUUAUUCCCUGAAAUUCCCAUUUUCCCCAUCACAAUUCCCAUUUCCCCCCAGAAUUCCCAUUUCCCCCCCAGAAUUCCCAUUUAUUCCCAGAAUUCCCAUUUUCCUCUCAGAAUUCCCAUUUUUUCCCUGAAAUUCCCAUUUUCCCCUCCAGAAUUCCCAUUUCCUCCUCCAGAAUUCCCAUUCCCCCCCACAAUUCCCAUUUUUCCCCCCAGAAUUCCCAUUUUCCCCCCCAGAAUUCCCAUUUAUUCCCAGAAUUCCCAUUUAUUCCCAUUUAUUCCCAAUUUUUUCCCCCAGAAUUCCCAUUUUUCCCUGCAGAAUUCCCAUUUAUUUCCAUUUAUUCCCAUUUUUCCCUGCAGAAUUCCCAUUUAUUCCCAGAAUUCCCAUUUAUUCCCAUUUAUUCCCAUUUUUUUCCUCCCACAAUUCCCAUUUUCCCCCCCAGAAUUCCCAUUUCCCCCCCAGAAUUCCCAUUUUUCCCUCCAGAAUUCCCAUUUAUUCCCAGAAUUCCCAUUUUUUUCUCCCAGAAUUCCCAUUUUCCUCCCAGAAUUCCCAUUUAUUCCCAGAAUUCCCAUUUAUUCCCAGAAUUCCCAUUUUCCUCCCAGAAUUCCCAUUUAUUCCCAGAAUUCCCAUUUAUUCCCAUUUAUUCCCGUUUUUUCCCCCCAGAAUUCCCAUUUCCCCCCCAGAAUUCCCAUUUAUUCCCAGAAUUCCCAUUUAUUCCCAUUUAUUCCCAAUUUUUUCCCCCCAGAAUUCCCAUUUAUUCCCAGAAUUCCCAUUUUUUCCCCCCAGAAUUCCCAUUUUCCCCUCACAAUUCCCAUUUUCCCCCCCAGAAUUCCCAUUUUUCCCCAGGAAUUCCCAUUUUUUCCCCCAGAAUUCCCAUUUAUUCCCAGAAUUCCCAUUUUUUUCUCCCAGAAUUCCCAUUUUCCUCCCAGAAUUCCCAUUUAUUCCCAGAAUUCCCAUUUAUUCCCAGAAUUCCCAUUUUCCUCCCAGAAUUCCCAUUUUCCCUCCCAGAAUUCCCAUUUUUCCCUUUAAUUUCUUCUUUUCCCCUGAAAUUCCCAUUUUUCCCCACCGUUUUCAUUUUUCCCAGAAUUCCCAUUUUUUCCCCCCAGAAUUCCCAUUUUUUCCCUGAAAUUCCCAUUUUUCCCUGAAAUUCCCAUUUUUCCCUAAAAUUCCCAUUUUCCCCUCCAGAAUUCC